rnacentral:rRNA from 1 species
AACGAACGCUGGCGGCAUGCCUAACACAUGCAAGUCGAACGAGACCUUCGGGUCUAGUGGCGCACGGGUGCGUAACGCGUGGGAACCUGCCCUUAGGUUCGGAAUAACUUCCUGAAAGGGGUGCUAAUACCGGAUAAUGUCUUCGGACCAAAGAUUUAUCGACUUUGGAUGGGCCCGCGUUGGAUUAGCCAGUUGGUAGGGUAAAAGCCUACCAAGGCGACGAUCCAUAGCUGGUCUGAGAGGAUGAUCAGCCACACUGGGACUGAGACACGGCCCAGACUCCUACGGGAAGCAGCAGUGGGGAAUAUUGGACAAGGAGCGAAAGCCUGAUCCAGCAAUGCCGCGUGAGAGAUGAAGGCCUUAGGGUUGUAAAGCUCUUUUACCCGGGAUGAUAAUGACAGUACCGGGAGAAUAAGCUCCGGCUAACUCCGUG